UUAAAUUGAAGAGUUUGAUCAUGGCUCAGAUUGAACGCUGGCGGCAGGCCUAACACAUGCAAGUCGAACGGUAACAGGAAGCAGCUUGCUGCUUUGCUGACGAGUGGCGGACGGGUGAGUAAUGU
rnacentral:rRNA from 8 species